rnacentral:rRNA from 1 species
UGCAUGAAGUUGGAAUUGCUAGUAAUCGCGGAUCAGCAUGCCGCGGUGAAUACGUUCCCGGGGAUUGUACACACCGCCCGUCACACCAUGAGAGUCGGGAACACCCAAAGUCCGUAGUCUAACCGCAAGGAGGACGCGGCCUAAGGUGGGUUCGAUAAUUGGGGUGAAGUCGUAACAAGGUAAC